UACUCCUCAAACUGACCAACAUUUGUUCAGCAACUUUUUAAAAUAACUUUUAUUUUGAUUUUUAGAACACUUUAAAAUUUAUUCUAAGACGCAAUGUAUUGCGAAUUUUGUUAUGUUUAAAGCGUGACAAUCAACGUCAAUUACACUGAUGACAGCGUACAUUGAAGGUAAUAUUUCAUUUGUAUGAAAAAGGAAGUCUAGAGAAUUCAUAAUUUUGAAAAAUCGCUGAACAAAUGUUGGUAAGUUUGAGGAGUACACGUACAGCCUACAGUUAAAUUUAUUGCUCGUGUUACAGGCCACACCCGGUAU